UACACCCAAUACAAUAAGGGUACUCAUAGCACCAUCUGGUGGUAUUUCUUCUAUAUCUUCAUAUAAACCUUUCUGUUUCUUUAACAUCUUCCCCUUUAAAUUGAGGCAACCCCUUGAUGCUUUUCAUACUCGCAAUUAGAACCUAACACACAGCAGAGUAUCCCGUGAGUAUAUACUGUUUUAGAAAUAUACAAUUUGUUUAAAAACAAAUUUUUGGAUGUUUGUAACUCUUUAAUGCUUAUGGCCACUCCUUGUUCCUUUGACCUAGAUUCCACUGUAAAAAACAGGUAUCUCUAAGGAGAACGAGUGUUAAAUUUGGAACUAUGUAAGUAUAUUGUAAUGUUGUUUAUAGUUAUUACUCAAUGGAUAGGUAGUUACUUAUAUUUUGUGUAUGUAACUAUUGGUGUCUUUGAUAUACAUUUCAUAAUGUAAAUGACAUGUAUCUCUAAAGAGAACAAGUGUUAAGUUUGGAACCAUGUUAGUAUUAGGCAAUGGAUGAUGUUUUAUGGAUAUAUUUUGUUACUUAUGUUAGUGUACGUAACUAUUUUCAGACCACCAGAGGAAGGCCUGAUGCAGGGCCGAAACCGGUCGUGGCGAACUUACUCUUCUCGGCAAUAGAAUAUACAACGCCGAUUGCACUUCAAUGUAUAUUGGACUAUCCAUUUGAGGCUGCUUGUUAUUACUGUGAAUUUAACGCCGACUGCAUUUCUAUGUAUAUGGGACAAUCCAUUUGAUGGUGUUCGAUAUUACUGUGAAUUUAAACAGUAUAUUAAUUUGCCAGAUAUAUUAUUUACUGAACUGAUUCAUUUUCAAUUGUAUAUAUAGGAGGUCAUUUGUGUUUGAGUUGACUCAGGAACCCAUUUAGAGUGUUCUUUCCAAAGCUUUGCUUUGUCAUGGCUGAGUGGCAACAAGGAUUAAGUUUUGAUGAUAAAUUUAAGGAAUCCUUAAUCAAAGACAGAUCAUUGUUUGAAUCUGGGGAAUCUACUUCUGGUAACCCCAACACGGCAACAGGCAUAAGGGAGUAUGAAAAACUGAAACGCAGAGAGAUUAGAUUAGAUUUACAUGCUUCAACAUUGGCAGAAUAUAUCAGAGCUAACAGAAUUCCUAGGGGAUUACGGAUUUUUAAACCCCCAGGAAUGUUUCAUGAUGAUGAAUCCUUUAAUCAAAAAUGGGUGGCAAUUCUCAAUAAGUGCUCGCAGGAUUUGAUGCUCUUACUUAUUGCACGCUCCAAUGAUGAAAUAGCCAAUGUAAGAACCCAAACUCAGGUUAUAUUGGAGAGACUCAACUCUGAGGACCAGUUUAAAACUGAUUUGGACACCCUCACAUGUAAACUUAAAGAAUUUUCCCAACAACUUAGAUCUUUCAAACUUAAAAAGUUUGAGCGGGAUGAAAAUGAUUACAACAAUAACAGAGUUUACCAGUGGCUAUACUCUAAACGCCAAUAUUCUAAAAAACAAGUAAGGUUUAGUGAAUAUACUUCUGAAGAAGACACAGAAUCCAUGUCAGACAGUUCAGGACGUAGCAUGGCCUCUACUAGGAGUGAUAACAUUCGGGUACCCAGACGUACGGGGCGUACUAGGAAUAGACCCAAUCGUUUUUUUCAAGAGGCUCCAAAUGCCAAACGGAAGACCUAGUCGUGAAUUUAUCUAGAAGAGUUCUAACCCCUCAAGAGAGGGAGGUUGUCAACAAAGGUCUAUCAUUUGUCCCUAAACCUAAGUAUAAUCCAUUUAGGAUGCGAAUAGAAUUAGCUAGGUUAUUUCGCACCAUUAGAUUAAGACAUCAUUUUGGAACCAAAAUAAACCCUAUUACCUCCACUUUCAAACCACGGAGUAAUUUUUUUCCUACGACUGACCAUAUUGGCCUCAGAGUUUUUGAGAAGACAGUAUCUGAAGAAUUAUGUUGUACAAUUACAAAGCAAAAAAGAUCAUACAGUACAAAUUUUUCCAGUAAGGAAUGGCACAUCCUACACAAUUUAGCUAAUGACAAAGAUCUGGUUUGGAAGCCAGCUGAUAAAGGUGGAGCCAUAGUAUUAAUGAACCGCACUGAUUAUAUGGAUGAGAUCCAUAGACAAUUAUCUGUAAGAGAACAUUAUCUCAAUAUAGAACGGGACCCUACACACCAUAUCCAGUCAAUUAUAAGAACGGUGACAUUGGAAGGGCUGGCACUUGGAUAUAUAUCAGAGGAUGUAUAUAAAUUUCUACAUACACCAUGGCCCAGAAUCCCUGUACUAUAUACUCUACCCAAAAUACAUAAAAACAUCAGACCGGUACCUGGCCGUCCUAUUGUAUCCGGAUCGGGCUCAGUCUUAGAACCACUAGCUAAAUUUGUGGACCACUAUUUACAACCUUUUGUGAAACAGACUUCUUCCUAUGUUAGAGAUACAAAACAUUUUAUUAACAUUAUUGAAUCCUUGGUGAUCCCAACAGAUGCAGUCCUGAUGUCUGUAGAUGUAAUAUCACUGUAUACCAAUAUUCCGUUAGAGGAGGCACGACAUAUAUGUGAAUCAACCUUGAACAGGAGGCCUAAUCACCACCCUCCCACCUUUUUUUUGUUGGAUCUUCUUGAUAUUAUUCUUGAAAAAAAUUACUUCAAGUUUGAUGAAAAAUACUAUUUCCAAAUACAAGGUGUAGCCAUGGGCAGUCCUGUCGCGCCAGCGAUAGCCAAUUUAUUCAUGGAUAAUUUGGAGAAUGAAACUAUCUUGAAUCACACAAAGAACCCUGUAGCGGACGGCAUUAUCAAAUAUUGUAGAUUUAUUGAUGAUAUCUUUAUCAUUGUUAAUUCACAUCAGGAGGCAGUAACGUUAUUAUCCUGGAUCAAUACAAUUCACCUCAAAAUUAAAUUUACAGGAAACAUCAGUUCUACAUCCUUGAUUUUUCUAGAUGUCGUGGUUACAAAGGAAAAUGAUCGAUUGAAAGUGAGUAACCACCGAAAAACCACUGAUAGAAACUCCUUGUUACAUUACAACAGUUACCAUCAUUGGGCAUUAAAAAAUAAUUUACCCUUUACACAGAUGCUCAGGAUUAAACGCAACUCCUCUACCCUACAGGACUUCAAUCAGGAAAUGGAAGAGACGAAAAGCAGGUUCAGAAAUCGAGGUUACCCAGAGUCCAUAAUACAAUCAGCCUACUCGAAGGUUGCCAGUAUUCCUAGAUCUAAACUCCUAGAGGACAAAAUUAGACCAGGAGUAGACAGAUUGAUAUGGCCACUCACACUUACAAGUUUGUCCAAUCUAGCCAUCAAAACUGUUAAAAAGUACUGGAACUUAAUAAGAGACAUCCCUGGAUGUGAUAGACCCCCUCUGGUAGCAUAUAAAAGAACAAGGAAUAUUGGGGAUAUAUUGGUACAUUCAAACAUAACCAAUAGGCCCCGGACUGUAAAAUCUAAUCUGGUGGGCAACUAUCGCUGCCAUCAUUGUUCAGUAUGCAGCCAAUUGAUAGAGACCAAAAUCUUGACACACCAACAUCUAUCAUUCGAAUUUAAAUUUCCCCAUUUUGCCACCUGUACAACCAAAGGGGUUAUUUACAUGAUAAUUUGUGAUUGUAAUUUAUCAUAUGUGGGGCAGACUCGUCGAGAAGUUAAGAGCAGAAUUAUAGAGCACAGGAGCAAAAUACGAAAUCAUGUCAGAGAAUCCAUACUGUACAAACAUUUCUGUGAUCUACAGCAUAGUCCUGAAUCAUUCAAAUACCACAUACUAGAAGUAGUAUCACAAUCCAAACAUAUGGACUUCAAUAAUAAACUUUUGCAAAGGGAAACAUAUUGGAUUUUCAGAUUACGGACAGAACAUCCACAGGGCUUAAAUGAACAAAAUUCAUACAGUUGUUAUAUAUAGAACCUUAGCAUACUAUAAAUCCCUAUUGAAUACACCCAAUACAAUAAGGGUACUCAUAGCACCAUCUGGUGGUAUUUCUUCUAUAUCUUCAUAUAAACCUUUCUGUUUCUUUAACAUCUUCCCCUUUAAAUUGAGGCAACCCCUUGAUGCUUUUCAUACUCGCAAUUAGAACCUAACACACAGCAGAGUAUCCCGUGAGUAUAUACUGUUUUAGAAAUAUACAAUUUGUUUAAAAACAAAUUUUUGGAUGUUUGUAACUCUUUAAUGCUUAUGGCCACUCCUUGUUCCUUUGACCUAGAUUCCACUGUAAAAAACAGGUAUCUCUAAGGAGAACGAGUGUUAAAUUUGGAACUAUACCACCAGAGGAAGGCCUGAUGCAGGGCCGAAACCGGUCGUGGCGAACUUACUCUUCUCGGCAAUAGAAUAUACAACGCCGAUUGCACUUCAAUGUAUAUUGGACUAUCCAUUUGAGGCUGCUUGUUAUUACUGUGAAUUUAACGCCGACUGCAUUUCUAUGUAUAUGGGACAAUCCAUUUGAUGGUGUUCGAUAUUACUGUGAAUUUAAACAGUAUAUUAAUUUGCCAGAUA